CAGAAAACUGAGCCAGCAAAAAAAGAAGCAGCAGUUUUCUCCCGGAUUAAUGAACUGAGAUGAGUCUCAGUUGGAUCUAUUCAGGUCGCUGGUGCAUGAAUUCUGGUGUUGGUGGCUGCGAGGGGGCAGGAGCCAGUGGCCGCAAGGAGGAAUUACCUCUCCUGGAGCUGAGCCAACAGUGGUGAGUGCUAAUGAUUGCCAACAGCAGGGAGUUAAAAGAGAGAAGGGAGGACCUUAGCUGCAGGCAGCAAAGUGGACAGAUGGGAGAGAGUAUGACAACUUACGAUAUUUCUCGUGCAAGCAGGGGCUGUGCGGGCCACGUCUAUCAAAACUGUACCUCAUGUUCUUCAUCUUUGAAAUUCUGAAUUCAAAAAGGAGAAAACCAGUGAGAGAAUGUUUGAAAUGUGCCUUGUGAAUGAACUGCUACUGCACAUCUUUCUGCUCUAAAUAACAUGCAGGCAUUGCAAUCAUACUGUGGCUUUCCCAUAAACAUGCAAGUGUGUUAAUAAACAUAUCAGACUCCUACCCCAUUCAACUCCUUUCUGCUGCUUGGGGAUCACAGCCUAAGGAUCUUCCCCAUGCAGUGAUGGGAGAUGGCUCUGAGGUGGGAAGGCUUUUUCUUGUCCUAUUUUAAUAGCCCAAUGUUAUACAUUUCUUAAAACCAGAUACUAGUAUACUGUGCUUUCAGAAAACCUCUCUCAUACUACUUCAGAGUAACAGAGAUAGUUGAAUAUUCAAUAUCCUUGUGUUUCUAAAGGAGUUUAGUAAGAGAAGAGACCCUUGUUUGUCCCAUUUCUAUAUAACUCUAAAAAGCCAUGCUCCAGAGCUUCAGCUAGUUGUGUUUGGGAACUGGGAAGAGAUUCUCGAGUUGGAACCUAUUGGUCUGACUCACUGGGCAUUUUACUUGUUAGCAUUGCCUAGAGCAAUUCAGUGAAGGCAGAACAUCUGAUGGGGUGGCCAGAGAUUUGGGGGGCAGAGGGGAGCUUUUCUGAGAAAUACAGUUUAAAUGCUUGUUUUCCAGUAUGUAGAAAUACUCUUAAAAAUCUCCCAGGUCUUGACCACGUACAGGUUGGGAUCAGACUCCUGCUAUAUUGCACCAAUGGUAGUCUUGAUAGUAUGGCAGCGUCUGUGUGUAUGCGUGCAUGGAUGUUCUUCACAUCCUUCUAGACCAGAUGUCCACCAUAUGGACAUGCUGAUGUCUUCACAGCUUAUUACAAUUGCUCACACCAGGAGCUGAAUCAUUCAAUUUGAUAAUUUUCUCCUUUACGGUUUUUAGUUUGUGUAGUGUUUUAGAAGUGGAUGUAUCUUUCAUUUUAAUUAAGAUUACCUGUUUCUAAAAGAACAAUGCUUAUCCCUGCAGCCAUGCCUUUGAACUCGUUAUGGCAUGAAUUUUUUGUGACUGUCAGAACCAGUGUAGUUGCAAGGUAAAACAAGUCAGUCUUUUUUCAAUUAUGCAGUUUGAUUUUACCUGCUAAAUUGUCUGCUGUUGGACUGUGGACUGUUAAGAUAUCCCCUUCCCAGAUCUUACCUAUAAAUCUGGAAAGCAAAGAGAGACUUUCUGGAUGUUUUCAGAUUGAAGUUAGCUGAAGAUGUAUAGUUGUCUUCAUGAAUGGUGUUCCCAAGUAAACGACUUGGCAGAACCAGACAAAAAUCUUGGGCGAUAGCCUAGUAUGUAGCUUCAUAGAUAAAAUGAGUUUAUAAAAGAAAUAUUUUGCAUUCUUUAUAAUGUGUUUUGAAGUGCUGAAAGCUGAAACAAGUUCUGACUGACUGCUGGGAUCACAGAAUAUCAGUGAGGACACUUUCAAAUUCUGGUAAAAACUCUGGGGAAACUGUACCGUUAAUUUCUGAUGCCCUUCAACUUGCAGCUUUUUUUCUGGUGCUUCUUGGUAUUUUAUUUCCUGGUGAUCUGAAAAAACACAGAUACAUUGUGGCCUAUGAUUGAUUUGUCUUAGCAUGGGGUCUAUUGGGUGGAAAAUAUCUAUUACAGAGAGUGAACAGCAAGGUGUUUCUGGAGUGAGGGGGAUACAAGAGCUACAAAGCAUUCUGCUGUGAUGCUAGAGAGAAGACUACUUUUUAAAAUAAAUAAAAGUUAAACGUAGUUGUUUUAUUUGCAACAUUAAAAUUGCCUCAUUGUUCUAUGAGAAGGUAUUUCAUUUUGUUAGAAAAGUGAAUGUAUUCCAUUUUGCUAGAAUGUAGAGAACUUAUUUUGCUGAACACAGACAUCUCCAUACUUGGUUAUAAAGUCACUUCAAACUGAACAGGACUGCAUGGACAAGGAGUCCUUAAUAUAAGAAGGUCACCCACAUUCUUCACCUAUAGCGACACAAAAAUGAUCCUGCCUUCACAUGUAAGGUGAUGGGCUCUGAGCUGACUGUUGCCACUCAUGAAAAAGAUCCUGGGGUUAUGAGAGAUUGUUACACUGAGCAGCUCAGUGCUCAACAGCAGUCAGAAAAAAAGCCAAUCAGUCAUUACAAAUUAUGAAGAAAGAAGCAAGCAACAGAGCAAGGAACAUCAUUCCCUACCAUAUAAACCCAUUGCUCUCCUGCAUCUUAAAUACCCAUCUCAAAAAGGUGAUAGUAAAUAUGGAAAAAAUUCUAAGAAUGAACAAAGCUGCUCAAAAGUAUGAAAUGGCUCCUAUAUGAGGAAAAACUAAAAAUAGCCCUCUUCAGUCCAGAAAAGAUCAGCUGAGGCAGAGAUAAGAAAGAGGUUUAUAAAAUCCUGAAGAGUCUGGAGAGACUGGCUAUCAACUGGUUGUUCAAUCUUCCAGUACAAACUUAAAAGAAGCUAGUAGGAGCAGAUAUAGAAGAAGCCAAAGAAUUGGGUAUUUGUGCAAUUCCUUGCUACAGGACAUGGAGGAUGCUAAAUGUUUACAUGGAUUCAAGGUGAAAUGGAACUAUUUCAUGGUAAAGUAAUCCACUGAGGGUAAACAAAUACGUAAAAACAUGUCAUUCUUGGAGUGGGUGGAAAUACCACUUAUGCUUGUCCCAUUCUAAUAGUCUUCCUUAGGCAGCUGCUUUAAGUCCCAGAGACAGAGUAUUGGGAUUGACAGACCCUUAGUCUCAUCCACUGUGGCUGCUGCUAUGUUUGCUGAUGUCUCCUUGCAUCUCUCACACAUCCCUUUUCCCCCCACACUGGAAUCAGGGAGAGGGCGGGCAGGCAGGACACAGCAGAGAUGGGCUUGGGAAGGAGGAGCCUUUCUGGACUACAUAGAAAGUCUGAGAACAGGUUCUAAUUCUGGGAGGACCUGGAGUUUUCAGAGCUCAGGGGAAUCUGUGGUGGGGCUCCCUGCAGAGGGGGGAAUUUCCUGAUCAGUGAAGAGGAUAUAUAUUUCACAAUUAAACCAAAAGAGAGUUUCCAGGAUAGUGGAAGGAUGUGGUAAACUCAGCAUGCAGUAAAGUGAGCGAGAGCCUGCUUGGUAUCCUAUGCUAACUCUCCUCCACUCUACCUCUCCUAGUCCUCACAGCCUUCCCCUUACAUACCUGCCCCACUCCCUGUACUGUCUGAUUGCUGCUGACUGCUCUGUACAUUUAAUCCAGAUGAUGCCCACGUGUUUUGUCCAUUUAUCCUUUUCCCAUGUGCUGUCUGUGAGGCCAGGCAAGUUUCGCACUCAGAGGUACGAUUUGGGAAAGCAGUUAUCUUUUUAGUCUGUCCCAGUGGUAACAAGAGAAUCACGGCUGUCAGUUCAUACUUACACCACACAAAGAUGACUAGAAACACAAAGAGAGAAACAACAGAUACGAUAACUGUUGCUGCUGUCCAGUCAAAAUCAGGCGAGCAUCCUUUUCCUGGAGUCAAGAAGAAAGCAGGAAUUAAUUCCACCCUGGCCAACUGCAAGGGUCUGCAGGGUUUUUCUGCAGCAAAUAGGAGUCUAGGGUCCCACUUUGAUAGUUACAUGGGGCUGUUAAAACCCUGCAGCUGACAGCUACAAAGUCUGAAUUCUCUGCUGCAAAGCCUAAGCAUGGUGGUUCCAGAACAACCCACAGCAGCACCAUGUAAGCCCUGCAGGAAAGGGUGAGUUGGGGCCAGGUCUGGUGUUAGAAGAGGAGGUGACCUGGGCUCCCUGUGACUGGAGCCCCAAGUUUCAGCUUUGCAGGAAAUGGGCAAUCCCUGUUUUCUACUGGGUAGAAACUGCAACUGCCUGUAAGGUACCACUAUCCUUAUAUAAUUCAGGGAGUUUAUGAUGGAGCUUUCUGUUUAGGAAGCCAGGCAGCAUAAGUUUGGACAUGGGAAAGAGGCAGCCUGACUUUGCUGAUGCUGAAUGUCCUCCAGCAGCAGGCUGGUGAAGAGCACGUUUAGCACCAUUCCUCCCAGAACAGCGGCAUCCAAGACAAUAUGGGUCCCUAGAAACAAGAAAAGAAGCAUGGCAGGUCCUAUGAUAUUUCAUUAGUGCCAUUAAAUGCUGAUAAGAGGUAAUUCUUCACAUGAGAGGGAAGACACCUUUAUACAUUUUAUUCCCUCUAAAAUUUUUGGCUCCUUGGAAUAUUACCCGCAAACCAGAGGUGUGGUGUUGAGUUUGUACAAAAACUGUUCAAACAGCAAAAGCUGAGCAAUCCCCUGCUUACUAGAGAAGCGUGAUUGCCCUCCAGCAUGGGUGAUACAUGGGUGAUGGCUGAAAGCAAUCCACGGGGCAGGAAGAGUCAUCUUGUUACGAAGUUUGCUACCCUCUGUGUUCUUGCUAUGAGAUCACAGAUAAACAGGUGUGCAACAUUCACACAUACUUACAUGGUUUUGCUUUAAAUCCCUGUACCAUGACUGGGGAAAGUGCUAAGAUCACAGCUGCUAAUAACAUUAUGAUGAUUCCCACCGCAAGGAAAAACAUUAGAAGAAAGACUGGAGAGAUGCCUGCAAGAAACAAGAAAAAACAGGAAUUGCCAACCAGAGACUUUGGGCUCUGUUCUGCAGAGAUCCCCAUGUACCCGAGUAGCUGCUGACCGAUCAGAAAACCUCAUGGAGGGAAGCGAAAUGGGCACUGCAGCAAGGGUACCAGCAACAUCUUGUUUCAUGCUUUCAUGUCUCUUUUAAUGACCACAUUUGAACAUUGGUGUCACAGAUGAACAAAGUUGAAAACCCUCAUCUGUCUAACUGUGAGCAGAAAUGCCUCACAUUAGCAUGCCUGGCUGUCACGUAGAGGAGAGAUGCUGUGGGGUUAGCAUGAUGUGAAAACUAACACUUCAGAAAAGGACCCAGGUGUGUGCCCAUGCAUAAACCUAUACCUAGCUUCUGUAUACCUUUCCUUUGGUGACCCUUAUCGUGGAUGUUUGUAAUGCCAUCUUUCUAACCUUGUGUCUUUGGUAACUCUCCAUAUCCACAUUCCAACACGAUGUUGGCAACAGCCAGGAAAAGCAAGGGUAAGUAUGUGCUCUUCCUCCCUCUGCCAAAGGUGCUCCCUUGGAGCUGAUACGUAUCACUUUCCUGAGAUGAAAUAAUCACUUUAUUUCAUUUGCUACCUUGUAGUUGGAUACUGGUACCUUUCCAAAUCAGCCUGAUGGUGAUUUUUACCUUCCUCUUGUAUCCAGAGACCACUGGCAAUGGCCAGAAGAAGACAGGAGCCAAACAGCAGCACAAGAAAGCCUACACAAGGCCAUCUCCGGGACAUUAUGCCUAGGGAAGCAACACACAUUAGACUGGUAUUACCUAUCCAGUAAAGCAAACUGUUUGGCAUGAGACGAGACCAUUGCAUUUAUCAAAGGGCUGAAUGCAGCCUCUUUCUCUGUGGUCAGUUUAAUAUACUCUUGAACUGAAAGCAGGGAAUUUAAAUAACUUUUAUACAUCCAUAAAGGUCUGUAGCUUUUUCACACCUUGACUUCUGUGGGAGUACUGGGCCCACACUCCAGUUCCAGCGCUCCACACAGCACUGCAUGCCUGGCAAAAGUAACAGAGACUUAUGUUUUGACCCAGUGUUGUUUUACAUGUCUUAGAGAAAUGUAAUAAUAUGAAAAUGAGCAUGCAGAGCUGUUGGCAGAAGAUGAGUAAUGUACCUUAUUGACUUCAUCUGUUCUUACUUGCAAAUUUGUCUACCUCCAUUUUUUAACAGCAGCAACUAGACAAAUUAUGAAAUCGUUGCUAAAAACUUGUUUUCCAAGACUGGAGGGAAAGGAAUGAGAGAACAUACCAACUCUUUUUUUUCCUGAUAGAUAGUACAGAAGAAGGAGGCCCAGUGUGGCAGCCCAUGCCAAGAAGCUAGCAGCAGUAGAGAUUUUCUGUGCUUGCUUCAGAAAAGGUUUCAAACCUACAACAAAGACAGAAUUCAAGCUCUCACUAGCAAACUCAUAAAUGGGUAAUUGAAAUGGCAGCCAGAAGCUAAAAGAAGAUGGUGAGAGGAGGAAAAUGGUGUUCAGUGAAAGAGAAAAACUGAAAUCCCACAUUACAUGUUGCUGUAAAUUAACUUCUGUGAGAAAAAAAAGAAAAAAGAAAAUAGGAAAGGAAAUCAGCAGGAAUUAACUCAAUCUGCCAGGAAAAUGGGGAGAAGAAGCAGUUUUCUCACCUGUCUGAAGACUCCACUCUAAUAAACCUAAGGAAAAGGCUGUUGAUGUUCUGUGGUUCAAGCUUCUGCUAUAUCCCUUACCGUCAAUGAUCAAGUCCAGGGAGGCUUCAUCCCAGCUUACUUCAUUGCUGACAUUGCAGGAGUAGGAGCCACAGUCUGAUUUCUGCCCAUUCUGUAUUUGCAAAACUCUGAAGUCUUCAGAAAACAUAUAAUGACCAUUUGGGCGAAGCAGCUGCCCAUUUUUCUUCCAGACAACAUCUUUUACUGUGGCAAGAUGCUCCACUGCACAAGAUAAUUGGAUGGGUGUAUCAGCCAGUUUUGAAUCUGUCUGUAAGCCAGGUUUGGACACGGGGUCUAGGAGAAACAAGACAGUUGGAUACAUUUACCUUUUUUCAUAAUAUUUCAAAAGACCAGGUUCCAAGACUAGGCACUUGACACCAACCUCUGUCACCUAAACUGAACCAGAUCUGCUGAUGUAUAUUGGCAGAAAUACAUAUUGGCUAAAGACAUCUUCUUGUAUUGUAGUCUGCUAUACAUAUUUAUAGUCUAUAUUUAUGCAUUGAAAUACGUUAUAAAUAAUAUACUAAUAUAUAUUUUGUUAGCUAUAUGCUCAGUGCUUUAUUUAUUAGAAUCAUUAGAAUCAGUCUUCAUUUCUACUUAGGUCUGUAUAAAGUAAAUCAAUAUAAAUAUUUCUGGAGCAGAGUUUUAGCUGCUCUUCUAGUAUACAAAGUCACUAAAAAAGGCCAGCUUGUAAUAAGCCCAGCUGCUUCUCCAGAGCAGGAAUGAGAUCUGUUUUAUGUUUCUUUUACUUUUAACAGCUAUUUGAAGUGUCUGCUUUAAUAAAAUCUCUGCUUUCUCACUUA